CGGGCCGAACGGCAGUGCAGAGUACCCGACCUUCUUGGAGUCUCUGGGAGGGGUGCUGGAAAGUGCUCCGACUGGGGACUCUAUUGUUCUACUGGGGGACUUCAACGCCCACGUGGGCAACGACAGUGACACCUGGAGGGGCGUGAUUGGGAGGAACGGCCCCCCUGAUCUGAACCCGAGUGGUGUUCAGUUAUUGGACUUCUGUGCUAGUCACAGUUUGUCCAUAACGAACACCAUGUUCAAGCAUAAGGGUGUCCAUCAGUGCACGUGGCACCAGGACACCCUAGGCCGCAGGUCGAUGAUCGACUUUGUUGUCGUCUCAUCUGACCUGCGGUCGUAUGUCUUGGACACUCGGGUGAAGAGAGGGGCGGAGCUGUCAACUGAUCACCACCUGGUGGUGAGUUGGAUCCGAUGGCGGGGGAAGAAGCUGGACAGACUCGGCAGGCCCAAGCGUACUGUAAGGGUCUGCUGGGAACGUCUGGCCGAGUCUCCUGUCAGAGAGAUCUUCAACUCCCACCUCCGGCAGAGCUUCGACUGGAUCCCGAGGGAGGCUGGAGAUAUUGAGUCCGAGUGGACCAUGUUCUCCACCGCCAUUGUCGAAGCGGCCGCUCGGAGCUGUGGCCGUAAGGUCUCCGGUGCCUGUCGAGGCGGCAAUCCCCGAACCCGGUGGUGGACACCGGAAGUAAGGGAUGCCGUCAAGCUGAAGAAGGAAUCCUAUCAGGCCUGGUUGGCUUGUGGGACUCCUGACGCAGCUGACGGGUACCGACAGGCCAAGCGGGCUGCAGCCCGGGUGGUUGUGGAGGCAAAAACUCGGGCCUGGGAGGAGUUCGGUGAGGCCAUGGAGAAGGACUAUCGGCUGGCCUCGAAGAGAUUCUGGCAAACCAUCCGGCGCCUCAGGAGAGGGAAACAGUGCCCUACCAACGCUGUUUACAGUAGAGGUGGGCAGCUGUUGACCUCAACUGAGGAUGUCGUCGGGCGGUGGAAGGAGUACUUCGAGGAUCUCCUCAAUCCCGCUGUCACUUCUUCCAUUGAGGAAGCAGAGGAUGAGGUAUCAGAGGUGGACUCGUCCAUCACCCGGGCUGAAGUCACUGAGGUGGUCAAGAAACUCCUCGGUGGCAAGGCACCGGGGGUGGAUGAGAUCCGCCCUGAGUACCUCAAGUCUCUGGAUGUUGUGGGGCUGUCUUGG
rnacentral:lncRNA from 1 species